UACUGCAUCAGGAACUGAUUGGAUAAGAAUCAGUCACCAUCAGUUCCUAAUGCAUUG
rnacentral:pre_miRNA from 2 species